UUUUAUGGGCAAUCUGUUUGUGUCUACAGCUUCCAAUAGAGGACCCUCAUCAGAGUGAGGCAGGUGAGGAGGAGGACCAAGGAGGCAUACAUCCAAGAGGAGCUCACAAGAUGUCAGCCUUGGAGCAGUUGUUUGAGGAUGAAGACAGAGAACUUCUCCAUACAAGUCAAACAACAAGCAGUGCCCUCUCCAUCACAGAGCAGGUCCAGAAA